AAAUCAUCUGAUGAGAAGAAAACUGCAACAAUAUGAAACUUUAAAGUCCAUGAUUCGUUUGUAUUUAAGUCUCUGAUGAUU